GACGAACGCUGGCGGCGUGCCUAAUACAUGCAAGUAGAACGCUGAAGGAGGAGCUUGCUUCUCCGGAUGAGUCGCGAACGGGUGAGUAACGCGUAGGUAACCUGCCUGGUAGCGGGGGAUAACUAUUGGAAACGAUAGCUAAUACCGCAUAAGAGUAGAUGUCGCAUGACAUUUGCUUAAAAGGUGCAACUGCACCACUACCAGAUGGACCUGCGUUGUAUUAGCUAGUUGGUGAGGUAACGGCUCACCAAGGCAACGAUACAUAGCCGACCUGAGAGGGUGAUCGGCCACACUGGGACUGAGACACGGCCCAGACUCCUACGGGAGGCAGCAGUAGGGAAUCUUCGGCAAUGGACGGAAGUCUGACCGAGCAACGCCGCGUGAGUGAAGAAGGUUUUCGGAUCGUAAAGCUCUGUUGUAAGAGAAGAACGAGUGUGAGAGUGGAAAGUUCACACUGUGACGGUAUCUUACCAGAAAGGGACGGCUAACUACGUG
rnacentral:rRNA from 1 species